rnacentral:rRNA from 1 species
UACGGAGGGUGCAAGCGUUUAUCCGGAUUCACUGGGCUUAAAAGAGUCCGUAGGCGGCAUGUUAGGUGAGGUGUGAAAUCCCCCGGCUCAACCGAGGAAUUGCGCUUCAAACCGGCGUGCUUGAGGAAGAUAGAGGUGGGCGGAACUGAUGGUGGAGCGGUGAAAUGCGUUGAUAUCAUCAGGAACACCGGAGGCGAAGGCGGCCCACUGGGUCUUUUCUGGACGCUGAGGGACGAAAGUCUAGGGGAGCGAACGGG